rnacentral:ncRNA from 2 species
UACCAACAUCAAGAUUCACUUUAAUGUGAAACCAACCGAGUCGCGAGACUACGGUGGUGAAAACGAUGAGGACUUGCAGUCAAAAUAAAUCGCAAAA